rnacentral:rRNA from 1 species
AACCGUGGUAAUUCUAUGGUUAAUACAUGCGCAAAUAUCCUUUUUCGCAAGAAAGAGGAUAGUGUUUAUUAGAUACAGAACCAAUACACCAUCUGUUAACAGCAGGUGGUGUAAAAAAGGUGAUUCAUAGUAACCGAACGGAUCGCAUUAUGGUCAUUUUAUAUGGCUGGCGAUAGAUCAUUCAAGUUUCUGACCUAUCAGCUUUCGACGGUAGUGUAUUGGACUACCGUGGCAGUGACGGGUAACGGGGAAUUAGGGUUCGAUUCCGGAGAGGGAGCCUGAGAAACGGCUACCACAUCUAAGGAAGGCAGCAGGCGCGCAAAUUACCCAAUCCUGACUCAGGGAGGUAGUGACAAGAAAUAACAACACUGGAAAUUUUAUUUCUAGUGAUUGGAAUGAUGGGAAUUUAAACCCCUUUCAGAGUAACAAUUGGAGGGCAAGUCUGGUGCCAGCAGCCGCGGUAAUUCCAGCUCCAAUAGCGUAUAUUAGAGUUGUUGCAGUUAAAAAGCUCGUAGUUGGAUGUCUGCUGGAAGCAAUCAGUCCGCCCUAUUUGUAGGGUGUGCACUUGAUGAAUUCUGGCA